CUGGCGGUAUGCUUAACACAUGCAAGUCGAACGGUAGCAGGCCUUCGGGCGCUGACGAGUGGCGGACGGGUGAGUAACGCGUAGGGAUCUGCCUGUUAGUGGGGGACAACGUGUGGAAACGCACGCUAAUACCGCAUACGCCCUACGGGGGAAAGGAGGGGACCUUCGGGCCUUUCGCUAACAGAUGAGCCUGCGUUGGAUUAGCUAGUUGGUAGGGUAAAGGCCUACCAAGGCGACGAUCCAUAGCUGGUCUGAGAGGACGAUCAGCCACACUGGGACUGAGACACGGCCCAGACUCCUACGGGAGGCAGCAGUGGGGAAUAUUGGACAAUAGGCGCAAGCCUGAUCCAGCAAUACCGCGUGUGUGAAGAAGGCCUUAGGGUUGUAAAGCACUUUCAAUGGGGAGGAAAACCUGCCGGUCAAUACCCGGUAGCUUGACAUUACCUUUAGAAGAAGCACCGGCUAACUCCGUGCCAGCAGCCGCGGUAAUACGGAGGGUGCGAGCGUUAAUCGGAAUUACUGGGCGUAAAGCGUGCGUAGGCGGUCCGUUAAGUCAGAUGUGAAAGCCCCGGGCUCAACCUGGGAACUGCAUUUGAAACUGGCGGACUAGAGUUUAGUAGAGGGGAGUGGAAUUUCAGGUGUAGCGGUGAAAUGCGUAGAUAUCUGAAGGAACACCAGUGGCGAAGGCGACUCCCUGGACUAGAACUGACGCUGAGGUACGAAAGCGUGGGUAGCAAACAGGAUUAGAUACCCUGGUAGUCCACGCCGUAAACGAUGUCAACUAGCCGUUGGUCCUAUUUACAGGAUUAGUGGCGCAGCUAACGCAUUAAGUUGACCGCCUGGGGAGUACGGCCGCAAGGUUAAAACUCAAAUGAAUUGACGGGGGCCCGCACAAGCGGUGGAGCAUGUGGUUUAAUUCGAUGCAACGCGAAGAACCUUACCUGGGCUCGAACGGCUCACGAAAACACCUGGAAACAGGUGCUUCCCGCAAGGGACGGGAGUCGAGGUGCUGCAUGGCUGUCGUCAGCUCGUGUCGUGAGAUGUUGGGUUAAGUCCCGCAACGAGCGCAACCCUUGCCCUGUGUUGCCACUCCGAAAGGAAGCACUCUCAGGGGACCGCCAGCGAUAAGCUGGAGGAAGGUGGGGAUGACGUCAAGUCAGCAUGGCCUUUAUGUCCAGGGCUACACACGUGCUACAAUGGCCGGUACAAAGCGUUCCCAAACCGCGAGGUGGAGGUAAUCGCAAAAAGCCGGUCUCAGUUCGGAUUGCAGGCUGCAACUCGCCUGCAUGAAGCCGGAAUCGCUAGUAAUGCAACAUCAGAACGGUUGCGUGAAUACGUUCCCGGGCCUUGUACACACCGCCCGUCACAUCAC
rnacentral:rRNA from 1 species